AUUGAACGCUGGCGGCAGGCCUAACGCAUGCGAGUCGAACGGUAACAGGAAACAGCUUGCUGUUUCGCUGACGAGUGGCGGACGGGUGAGUAAUGUCUGGGAAACUGCCUGAUGGAGGGGGAUAACUACUGGAAACGGUAGCUAAUACCGCAUAACGUCGCAAGACCAAAGAGGGGGACCUUCGGGCCUCUUGCCAUCGGAUGUGCCCAGAUGGGAUUAGCUAGUAGGUGGGGUAACGGCUCACCUAGGCGACGAUCCCUAGCUGGUCUGAGAGGAUGACCAGCCACACUGGAACUGAGACACGGUCCAGACUCCUACGGGAGGCAGCAGUGGGGAAUAUUGCACAAUGGGCGCAAGCCUGAUGCAGCCAUGCCGCGUGUAUGAAGAAGGCCUUCGGGUUGUAAAGUACUUUCAGCGGGGAGGAAGGGAGUAAAGUUAAUACCUUUACUCAUUGACGUUACCCGCAGAAGAAGCACCGGCUAACUCCGUG
rnacentral:rRNA from 1 species